UGGGGAAUAUUGCACAAUGGGGGAAACCCUGAUGCAGCGACGCCGCGUGAGUGAAGAAGUAUUUCGGUAUGUAAAGCUCUAUCAGCAGGGAAGAUAAUGACAGUACCUGACUAAGAAGCCCCGGCUAACUACGUGCCAGCAGCCGCGGUAAUACGUAGGGGGCAAGCGUUAUCCGGAUUUACUGGGUGUAAAGGGAGCGUAGACGGAGUGGCAAGUCUGAAGUGAAAACCCUGGGCUUAACCUGGGGACUGCUUUGGAAACUGUUAAUCUAGAGUGUUGGAGAGGUAAGUGGAAUUCCUGGUGUAGCGGUGAAAUGCGUAGAUAUCAGGAAGAACACCGGAGGCGAAGGCGGCUUACUGGACAAUAACUGACGUUGAGGCUCGAAAGCGUGGGGAUCAAACAGGAUUAGAUACCCUGGUAGUCCACGCUGUAAACGAUAAAUACUAGGUGUCGGGGAGCAAAGCUUCUCGGUGCCGUCGCUAACGCAAUAAGUAUUCCACCUGGGGAGUACGUUCGCAGGAAUG
rnacentral:rRNA from 1 species